rnacentral:misc_RNA from 1 species
UCGGCCGCGGUGGACGUGGAGCUCGAGGCCGG